UCCUAUCAUUGUUUAAAAACUUUUUCCUGAAUAUUAUGAGCAUUAACUUCUUUUCCCAUUGGUGGAGUAUUCAAGAUUCCUUUGGAGUUGUGUCCAACUUCCCUUUCCAAUCUCUGAGUAGCUAUAUAAAACUGGAAUUGAUUUGCCAGAGCUUUAAUCUAAUGUAACAUAAACACUGUCUCUUCUCUCCCUUUCAGUUUGGUUUGCGUUCAACCAGGUUUCUUUGGCCUUGGGAGUUUUGGAACCGCUUGGUGUGGAUUAGGGCUCCUGGUGCUGGUGUGUUUGUUGGUGAGGACUACUGCUCUGAUUCAUUGAGGCCUUGCUGGUGAUUUUCAGUCCUCUUUAAGUUUCCAUGUUCUGCUUUGGAAUUACCUGUUACGAACUAGGAGACAUGAUGAAGGCUGGAAAGAGAGCAACAAGAAGCAACAACAGCAUUGAAAGAAUAUAGUUAGUAGUUAAUUAGUUAGAAAAGCAGUUGAGUGAGUCAAUGAAGUAGUUAGAGUCAGCAGGCUUGAAUAUAGUUACAGUUAGUAUAAGAUAAAAGCUUGUAUAUAAACUGGUGUAUGGAAACGUGUUGGAGAGAAGAAAAUACAGAACAUUAUUCUCAAUCACUGCUCUUCCCUCUGUUCUCCUUUCUCUUCUCAAUUCUCUGCUCCUUCUCCUUUCUCUUCUCAAUUCUCUGCUCCUUCUCCUCUGCUCUCUCUUCUUUCUGUUCUUUCUCAAUUUCUGUUCUCUUUUCUUUCUAUUCUUUCUCAAUCUUGUUAAGCUGAGCUUAACAUUACCCUUGGGGGAUUUACAACGACUUCAAGCUGUUUAUCGUUUCCAGUUUCAGUUGUUUUAUGCGAUCCAGGUUAUAGUGGUUCUGGUGGUUUAACUUACUAGGUUUUUCUUUCUUCUUCUCUGUUGAACGGGAAUCCCCGGUUCUGUUUCUCUUUGUUGUUUUUCUCUUUGUUUACUGUGUUGUUCUCGAUUGGCUUUUCACAAAUGAUUCUUGGGGGUUGCAGGUUCCUUCUUGCCUUGUUGGUUUCUGCCCUAUUCUGCUUUGAUAGCUGUUAUGCUGUGUUUCCUGCCUUUUAUUCCUAUGUUGCAGCAGCCACUCUUUUUGCUUCCUGGCUCUUUUUGCAAUUUCCUUGAUCGUUUUCUUUACACUCUUGCUAAAUUGUUUCUCCCAUUAAUUUCUCUCUUUUUUUUUUAUGGAGUCCUACUGCUGGUUUUCUUUGCCUGUUUUUUUUCCUGGGUCUUUUGCUCUUCGUGCUUUGUCUGCUUCCCUUUGUUGCUGUUUCUUUUUUGGUUUUAAAACAAUGCUCCCUUUCAUCGGGUGCAAGCUAGAUUGCUGUCUGAAACUGGGCAUAAAGGAACAUGGAUUCCAAUCUCUACUAGGUUUGCUGGGACUUGGGGAAUAUGGACUGUUGAUUAUAUGUUUAAACAUGCAUUUCUUUAGGCUGAACUGUUGCAUUUUUCUGUUGUCGAAGGCUCCACAUCGCUGGACUUUGAUGAGGAAACAACAUCCUCACAGAAACAGCCCGUGGAUUCCCAUGAAACUGCCCUCCACCAACAAGGAGGCGUCUGCUAUUCGACAAUGAAAUUCCACUGCACAGCGGCCCAGCACAGCAGGACAACGUCCCAGUUCAGCUCAAAGAAACAGAUGCGCAGGUUCGCUUUCCAGCUUCCAUGAAUCGGAGCAGCUAACCAAGAAACAACAAACCUCAUUGUCAACCCCCGCAGAGCUCAAUUUCUUGAUUGGUAGAUGAUCUUUGAAAUCCAAUUACGAAAUACAGCAAGAAUUCUAUCUGGGCUUGGUGUGGCUAGCAAGAGACUAAUAAGGGAUGUCAGCCUUGUGAGGUGCUGGGUACAGGCUUCAAAGUCAAGACAAUAAUUGGAAGCAGAAAGCAAGGGAUUUUUUUUUUUUUGGCUGGAGUUGACUGUAAAUUCGAGCGAGGAAGUUUUCAAGAUGGAUUUUGGUGGAGUCUUUAACUCCCCACCUAGGUUUUUUUUUUUUUUUUUUUUUUAAUGUAAUUGAAGAUCCAACAACCAAUAAACAUAAGCUGAGUGGCUCCAGUACAUAUUUGGAUUGUAAAGUAUAUUUUACACAUAAAAUAUAAUGCACAUAAUAGAUAAACAAGACAACGCAUAGAGAAUUAUACUUGGAGCAAA